CUGUGCAGCUCCGAGGCCUUGGCCCGAGUCAGGACCAUCUUCCGCGUCAGCUUCAUGGCUACCGCCCAGGCCCGGCCGGCAGGCACCCCUGGCCUCCUGCUCCCGGGAGGGUGACGACUGCGCGGCGUGUGUCUCCAGGGGCGGGGCCCACGUCGUCAGGGGCGGAUCCUGAGCCCAUUGGCGGCGUGGCGAGGAGAGCGGGGCGGCGAGAGCGCCCUGGGGCCGCUUGGGCGCCGCUGACACGUUGGCUCUGCUCCUGCGCGUGGGCGGCCUGGGGCGCCCGGCUCUGACGCGAUUCUAACGCGACCGCGGAAGCGCGCGGCGGGCCGGGGGUGGGUGCAGGUGGCGGUCCCGGAGGCGGCCCCGUGAGGGCUGAGCUGCCGCUCCCACGAACCCAGCGGGGUGGGCUCGGUCCCACGCGCACCAUGGUCGAGUGCCUAGGCCUGUCUGUGAGCGCGGGCCUAGCGUGGAUGGGAUGGGCACUACACAGCUCCAAGUUACGGGAUUGAAACUCUUGGAAUAAACCCAGGGCAGCCCUGGGGCUGUGUUGAUUCCUUGUCGCCCUCCCUCCCUCCCAGCGUUUACAGAAAAGACGCAUUUAUGGGAAAGACGUACGAGCAGGUCCAGCAGAGCCCUUACAAGCAUUUCGGCCUUUUAGAAAUCAGGUUUCUUGCACGUCUGACACGGAUGGACCCAGCUAGAUGUCUUGCCAACGGCUCCUGUGGCCCCACUCAGAAGCCAUGCAGCACAAAAGGACCAAAAGGACAGCUAGAUUUCAUCUGGCACCCAACCAAUCAGCACUCCCCAUACCUCAGCCCCCUGCUCACGAUCUCGCACCCAGCCAAUCAGCACUCCCCAUACCUCAGCCCUCUGCUCACCAUCUCGCACCCAACCAAUCAGCACUCCCCAUACCUCAGCCCCCUGCUCACCAAACUACCUUUGAAAAACCCCUAACCUGUGAGCCUUCAGUUGUAACUGAGCAGCUCAGCAGCUGUGAAUCCAGAAUACCUGAGACAGGUCUGAAUCAGCUUAGAAAGUUUAUUUUGUCAAAGUUAAGGACGAGCCCAUGACACGGCCUCAGGGGGUCCUGACAACACGUGCCCAAGGUGACUGGGGCACAGCUUGCUUUCAUACAUUUUUAGGGAGACGUGAGACAUGAAUAUGUGUAAGAUGGAAAAAGAAGAGAAAAAGAAAAAAGUGUCCUGAGAGGUCUUCAGGCCUUGUGGUCAUUUCCAGCUCCGUUCUCGUCAUUGCUGCUCUGGGCGCCGUCGGGGCAAGGGUGUCGGCAUGGAGGUUCAUGGUGGCCACGCUGGCUGCAGUCUUCACCCUGGAGUGGCAUCCAUCACUGUCCUUUCACAUUUUAAGAGCAGUUCUGUUGUAUAAGAUGUUUCCGGAAUGCAGAUGACUCUGUGGACUCCAGAGAUGAAAAGAAGCAUGUCUCUUCCCUCAGCCCUCAGCCCACUGCUCCAGACCAGGUGUCCGCAAACUGCAGCCCGCUGGCCAGAUUGGGCCCACCACCUGUUUGCAAAUAAAGGUUUUUUUUUUUUUUGAGAUGGAGUCUUGCUCUGUCACCCAGGCUGGAGUGCAAGGGCCUGAUCUCGGCUCACUGCAACCUCCUCCUCCCGGGUUUAAGUGAUUCUCCUGCCUCAGGCUCCUGAGUAGCUGGGACUAUAGGUGUCAGGCCUCUGAGCCCAAGCUAAGCUGUCAUAUCCCCUAUGAUCUGCAUGUGUACAUCCAGGUGGCCUGAAGUAGCUGAAGAAUCACAAAAGAAGUGAAAAUGGCCGAUUCCUGCCUUAACUGAUGACAUUACCUUGUGAAAUUCCUUCUCCUGGCUCAGAAGCUCCCCCACUGAGCACCCUGUGACCCCCGCCCCUGCC